rnacentral:rRNA from 1 species
UGAGCAACCUACCGAACUGUGGGGGAUAGCCGGCCUAACGGCCGAGUAAUACCGCAUACGCUCUCAGUGAGGCAUUUCAUUGAGAGGAAACCUACGGGACAGAUCGAGGGGCUCGCGGCCUAUCAGCUAGUUGGCGAGGUAACGGCUCACCAAGGCAACGACGGGUAGCUGGUCUGAGAGGAUGGCCAGCCACAUUGGGACUGAGAAACGGCCCAG